GGGGUUGUGGCUCAGCGGUGGAGCACUCGCCUAGCACGUGCCGGGCCCUGGGUUCGAUCCGCAGCACCACA
rnacentral:tRNA from 1 species